GAUGAAGAACGUAGCGAAAUGCGAUAAGUAAUGUGAAUUGCAGAAUUCAGUGAAUCAUCGAAUCUUUGAACGCACAUUGCGCCCCUUGGUAUUCCGAGGGGCAUGCCUGUUCGAGCGUCAUUAUAAUCCUCAAGCUCAGCUUGGUGUUGGGGCCUGCUGCACUGGCAGCCCUUAAAAUCAGUGGCGGCGCCAUCUGGCUCUAAGCGUAGUAAUUCUUCUCGCUAUGGAGUCCUGGUGGAUGCUUGCCAUCAACCCCCAAUUUUUCUAUGGUUGACCUCGGAUCAGGUAGGGAUACCCGCUGAACUUAAGCAUAUCAAUAAGCGGAGGA
rnacentral:misc_RNA from 1 species